GAGUUUGAUCCUGGCUCAGAUUGAACGCUGGCGGCAGGCCUAACACAUGCAAGUCGGGCGGUAGAGAGAAGCUUGCUUCUCUUGAGAGCGGCGGACGGGUGAGUAAUGCCUAGGAAUCUGCCUGGUAGUGGGGGAUAACGCUCGGAAACGGACGCUAAUACCGCAUACGUCCUACGGGAGAAAGCAGGGGACCUUCGGGCCUUGCGCUAUCAGAUGAGCCUAGGUCGGAUUAGCUAGUUGGUGAGGUAAUGGCUCACCAAGGCGACGAUCCGUAACUGGUCUGAGAGGAUGAUCAGUCGCACUGGAACUGAGACACGGUCCAGACUCCUACGGGAGGCAGCAGUGGGGAAUAUUGGACAAUGGGCGAAAGCCUGAUCCAGCCAUGCCGCGUGUGUGAAGAAGGUCUUCGGAUUGUAAAGCACUUUAAGUUGGGAGGAAGGGCAGUAAAUUAAUACUUUAGCUGUUUUGACGUUUACCGACAGAAUAAGCACCGGCUAACUCUGUGCCAGCAGCCG
rnacentral:rRNA from 1 species